GCGACCCCAGGUCAGGCGGGG
rnacentral:rRNA from 13 species